rnacentral:misc_RNA from 1 species
GCAAAAGAAUUGAGUUAAAAAAAAAAAAACCAAAAAGAGUAGAUCUCCCCCCACAAUCCCUCUAUUUUUGGGUUAAGGGCUUGUAGUCAUCAUUAGUGUAAUUAAUUAUUUUUCAGAAAAUAUAUAGUAACUACUGAUCAACCUACUUUUUUUUUAAAUAAUACUCGUCCCUUCUUAUAUAUUUACUGAAUAAUAUACAAGCAUGUAAUAAAAAAAAAAAA